GGCUGUGGCGCAAUGGAUAGCGCAUUGGACUUCUAGGUUCAAUAUUGGAGCUAUUCAAAGAAGUUGUGGGUUCAAGUCCCUCCAGAGUCA
rnacentral:tRNA from 1 species